rnacentral:rRNA from 1 species
AGGUGCGAUCAUACUAGCACUAAUGCACCGGAUCCCGUCAGAACUCCACAGUUAAGCUUGCUUGGGUGAGAGUAGUACUUGGAUGGGUGACCUCCUAGGAAGUCCUCGUAUUGCACCCUUC